rnacentral:lncRNA from 1 species
CUGCCCCACGUGGCCGCUCACUGUCCUGUGGCAGUGUCUCUCGGUGUCCCCAGACAGGAGGGCAGAAGUGCAAGGCCACUUGAGCUCAAGCCUCGGGGGACCGCCUCACUUCCACUACAUUCUGCCGGAGAAAGCAAACAAGGCCAGGCCGCCUUCAAGAGAUGCAGAAAUGGACCCCGUGCCUGGAGGAGAUGAGCAGCUGAGGGCCAUUACGGACCGGGAUGGGGGCUGGGAUUUGUCGUCAUUAAACCACCUGUCACACGUGGGAAAGCACGUUAAACUGCCACUCCGGCACCCGGGGCCUCGUCACCCUGAAAACUCUGCUCUUCAGACCUACCUUCCAACAGGAGCAAACAAACAAACAAAUAGAGCAAGAGGAGAAGAACAUUUUCUGUAACAAUUUCAAAUAUGUACCAUCGGCUUGCUUUCUGCUUAUCAGCUGAUAGAGGAAAAGAUACUGGAGGAGGAAUCCACACCGAUGUUGGUAGCCAGUGGCCCGCACUGAGCGCACAAAAUGAUAAGAAUGCCAGUGUUUAAAAGAGCUGGAACUUUUUGAAACGGAGGAGUACAUGGAUUUUGUCAAUCUGAUGUUUUAACGAGGAGAUAGAAGCUGCCGUUUUUACUUUGCCAACUUUUUUUUUUUUUUUUGGUGGGGGUGGGGGAUGUGUCUGAGGACACCAAUUAUAUCUCAGAUGGCACCCAAGGAAAAAUUGGCCUCUAGACUCCUGCUGCUACCAGAGAUUCCGUGUUUUUUGUAAAAACAGUCAGGCUGGAAGUCUUUUCAUGCCUCUUUAAAAAUACAAAUCAUUUGAGCUUUCCCAAAUUUCCAGUUUUUAAAGAAAAAUCAUUCAGACAAUUUCUGUCUCCAGGAAUGCAACCGACGUAAAUGUAUUUGAAGGGGGAUUUCUCUCUUCUACAAUAGUGUGGUUUCCUUAAACACAGUACCUCAUUACCAGUAAAUGAGUUAAUUUGUAUUUUCCCCUUUGAACUAAGUCUCAUAUAUAACAUGAUUCAGAACAUGUUUUGAAGUACAUAAAUAUGCUCAUAGUAACUUCAUAAACAUCUCCUUGACUUUGGAUUUAUUAUUUCAAUUGGCUCUGGUGAGGGCAUUUGUAUGCUUAGAAACCUCUUCAGUUUCUUUUUGUGUUUUAGUGCUCGGUGUUAAUGGACUUUGUAACUGUUGCAUAAAACACAUCUAUCAACAAAGGUUUAAGAACACACAUUUAUACCAGGACUGUUUAAAAGUUGGGAGCCUUGGUGAAGAG